CAAUAGCGUAUAUUAAAGUUGUUGCAGUUAAAAAGCUCGUAGUUGGAUUUUUGGGAUGAAUCACACGGCCGGCCGCAAGGUUAGUGCUGGGUAAUCUUCCCUUUCUUUCUGGAGGCGUCCUCUGCUCUUAAUUGAGUGGUGGAAUGUGUUCAGAUCGUUUACUUUGAAUAAAUUAGAGUGUUUAAAGCAGGCAUUUCGCUUGAAUACAUUAGCAUGGAAUAAUGGAAUAGGGCUUUGGUUCUAUUUUGUUGGUUUCUAGGACUGAGGUAAUGAUUAAUAGGGAUAGUUGGGGGCAUUAAUAUUUAAUUGUCAGAGGUGAAAUUCUUGGAUUUAUGAAAGAUUAACUUCUGCGAAAGCAUUUGCCAAGGAUGUUUUCAUUAA
rnacentral:rRNA from 1 species